rnacentral:rRNA from 1 species
GCAGUCGUGCGGGGAAAAGUAGCUUGCUACUUAACUUAGCGGCGGACGGGUGAGUAAUACUUAGGAAUCUGCCUAUUAGUGGGGGACAACAUUUCGAAAGGAAUGCUAAUACCGCAUACGUCCUACGGGAGAAAGCAGGGGAUCACUUGUGACCUUGCGCUAAUAGAUGAGCCUAAGUCGGAUUAGCUAGUUGGUGGGGUAAAGGCCUACCAAGGCGACGAUCUGUAGCGGGUCUGAGAGGAUGAUCCGCCACACUGGGACUGAGACACGGCCCAGACUCCUACGGGAGGCAGCAGUGGGGAAUAUUGGACAAUGGGGGGAACCCUGAUCCAGCCAUGCCGCGUGUGUGAAGAAGGCCUUUUGGUUGUAAAGCACUUUAAGCGAGGAGGAGGCUACUCUAGUUAAUACCUAGAGAUAGUGGACGUUACUCGCAGAAUAAGCACCGGCUAACUCUGUGCCAGCAGCCGCGGUAAUACAGAGGGUGCGAGCGUUAAUCGGAUUUACUGGGCGUAAAGCGUGCGUAGGUGGCCAAUUAAGUCAAAUGUGAAAUCCCCGAGCUUAACUUGGGAAUUGCAUUCGAUACUGGUUGGCUAGAGUAUGGGAGAGGAUGGUAGAAUUCCAGGUGUAGCGGUGAAACGCGUAGAGAUCUGGAGGAAUACCGAUGGCGAAGGCAGCCAUCUGGCCUAAUACUGACACUGAGGUACGAAAGCAUGGGGAGCAAACAGGAUUAGAUACCCCUGGUAGUCCAUGCCGUAAACGAUGUCUACUAGCCGUUGGGGUCUUUGAGACUUUAGUGGCGCAGCUAACGCGAUAGUUAGACCGCCUGGGGAGUCCGUCGCAAGACUAAAACUCAAAUGAAUUGACGG